GCUGGGUGUGGUGGUGCAGGCCUGUAAUCCCAGCAGCUCAGGAGGCUGAGGCAGGAGUAUUGAGAGUUCCAAGCCAGCCUCGGCAAAAGAGAGGUGCUAAGCAACUCAGUGAGACCCUGUCUCUA
rnacentral:sRNA from 1 species